AGGGCACCAUGCAGUGCAGAUACUCAUUCUGCUUCAAUCUCCACAGCUAACCUCCUCCUUACAGCACAGAAGGGCACAAGUUGUAUUUUGGGUUUAAUCAGAUACCAGCUAUGAAUUCAGGUCUGCUUUUCAUGAACAGUAACCACUGGUGAAACAAGUCCAGCAGAAUGGUUCACAGUCACAGUGUCAGCUGUGUGACCUCACCCAUGACACAAACUAAAGAUGUCUCCAACUUGGAACAAUACUUUCAAGAGAGAAGACGAUAAACUAUCUUUAAAAACUCCCAAGGCCAGGCUGAGUGGUCCAGCGAAACCACGCCGCGAGUCAGAAAGCCAUCCGGAGUGCAGCGCAUCGACCCAGAC